GUUGGUAUCUCUAUUGCUAGCCUGAGAGCCACGCUUUUUAAGUCGUUUUCAUUUAAAAGGAUACACAGCAUUUUUAAAUACUGGAAAGUAAAAUCGGCGGUAUGCUAAAAACAAUUUGCUCUUACUCAGCAGGGUUUCUUCUAGCAAUGCACCAGGUUAAGUCGGAGAGGUGAAGAGGAUCCAACAAAGAAGACUGAGAAGGAAUAAUCCAUGAAGUAGAUGGAAAAGUAGGAGAGUUUAGAUCUGCAAAACCAAGGGAAGGAAGUGUUUCAAGAAGGGAGUGACCCAUUGUCUCAAAUGUUGCUCAUAGGUCAAGUAAAAUGAGAAUUAAGAAUGGGCCACUGUAGCAAUGGUCACCAGUGAUGUUGAAACGCCAUUUUGGCAGUGGUGGAAGUUUGAUAAAGUCUGAUGAAAAUUUGAUAGGAGUUGGAGGGAAGGAUGGGAGGAGAGGAAAUGGAGAAAGCAAAUAUACGCAAUACUUUUAAGAAGUUUUGUUUUUAAGGUGAGCAGAAAAAUAAGGCUAUCAUGGGAUAGGGAUUUUGUUAAUCUUUUGUUGUUGCGUUUUUCCACGUUCUAAUUUUUUUUUUUUUUUUAAUUCAAAGAUGGGGCUGAGUGUGGUGGCUUAUGCCUGUAAUCCUAACAUUUCAGGAGG
rnacentral:lncRNA from 1 species